rnacentral:rRNA from 1 species
UUUAGCAGAGAUGCUUUAGUGCCUUCGGGAACUCUGAGACAGGUGCUGCAUGGCUGUCGUCAGCUCGUGUUGUGAAAUGUUGGUUAAGUCCCGCAACGAGCGCAACCCUUUAUCCUUUGUUGCCAGCACGUAAUGGUGGGAACUCAAAGGAGACUGCCGGUGAUAAACCGGAGGAAGGUGGGGAUGACGUCAAGUCAUCAUGGCCCUUACGAGUAGGGCUACACACGUGCUACAAUGGCGCAUACAAAGAGAAGCGACCUCGCGAGAGCAAGCGGACCUCAUAAAGUGCGUCGUAGUCCGGAUUGGAGUCUGCAACUCGACUCCAUGAAGUCGGAAUCGCUAGUAAUCGUAAAUCAGAAUGUUACGGUGAAUACGUUCCCGGGCCUUGUACACACCGCCCGUCACACCAUGGGAGUGGGUUGCAAAAGAAGUAGAUAGCUUAACCUUCGGGAGGGCGUUUACCACUUUGUGAUUCAUGACUGGGGUGAAGUCGUAACAAGGUAGGCGUAGUGCU